rnacentral:rRNA from 1 species
UACGAACCGUACAAACGUUAUUCGGAAUCACUGGGCUUAAAGGGUGCGUAGGCGGCCACGUAAGUGAGAUGUGAAAUCCCUCGGCUCAACCGAGGAAGUGCAUUUCAUACUGCAUGGCUUGAGGGAGACAGGGGUAAGCGGAACUGAUGGUGGAGCGGUGAAAUGCGUUGAUAUCAUCAGGAACACCGGUGGCGAAAGCGGCUUGCCAGAAUGCGCUCGACGGUGAGGGAUGAAAGCUGGGGGAGCAAACCGG